GCCUUUAACAAGUGGUCUAUGCUUAUGUACUUUGUUUUCUAGAUUUUCUUUUGUUUUUUUUUUACCCGCAAUAAUCCAUAUGUUUCUUUUCUAUAAAAAAUAAUCAACAUGUUUUGAAAUUCCUGGACUAACAAAACAUGAUGAAUCUUAAAAAUCAAGCCCACCUGAUUUUGUUACGUGAUUGCUUGCAACUUUUUCAUUAAUUUAUUAUUCUCACUGUUGUUUUUACUUGUUAUCUGAUGUUUUCCCGGGUUUCAAAGUACUACUAAAGUUGCAAGAUGGCUGGCAUGUUACAUGCUUGUUCAAGAAUUCCACCAGCUGGAUGAAUUAAUUUGCUAGUGCCUUCCACACCUGCUUCUCCACCAUGACAUGACUGCACAUUAUCAGGAUUUAGUACCAAUUCCCUCUUUCUUCCAACACUGGGGAGUUUUCACCACUAGAUUCUUCUGGAUUCGUGAAUGCCCGACUAAAUAGAAUUUCCAUUGGGUAUGCUAAACUGGUGCAAGCCACAUCAAGAUUCUCUAUAUAUAAUGGUUUCCAGGAUUAUAUUUGGACAACAGAAACUUCAAAAGAAAGAGGCCUGAGUUUGAAAUGUAGCUGGAGCAGGUGGGAAAAGCCUUGCAUGUAUAUCAGCUAAAAGAGUGCUACAACUGUCUUUCUCUCAUUCACAGUGAGCUUUGCUUCAAAUAUUCGAUUGAGUGGUAGAAACACAUUAGGCCUUGAAUCUAAUUUGUAGCUGAAAUCUUAAUCAACUUAUAAAUCACUAAUUUAUUGAUUCA